AUCUAAAAAAGAAGGUAGUCGUUUGUCCGAUUUUCUAUCCUUCCAAUUGGCAAAUUCAAAAAGAAAUUCUUUAAAAAAAUAUGAAUGUAUACGCAGGAUGAUGAUCUUGUGAAUUUUUGGCUAAUAUUUUAGUAAUUGUGAAAUAUUAAACUUCCAAGCUGGCAUAUAUGUAUAGUUUAUGAAUUUAUUUUAUUAUUUAUUUAUAUAUACUAGUUUUACUUAUAAGUGACUGUUCUGGACCUCAUUCAUCAUUUGUUCUUCAUGUGAUCAUCAUUUUACAUUGUUUAUGUUUCAUUGCGUACAUCACUUUAUAUGCUCCAGUUUUAGGAGUUUUAUACAGGACAGUGUAGGAACCCAUGUUACUUUCCCCUCUCUUCUGAGUGACGAAAACUGCUCAGCAGGCCGUGUGCACAACUGCAAGGAACAUUCAGCGGACACGUUGUCCAAAGGAACAAUUCGUGGCUAACCACAGCUUUUUCACCAUUUGGAUUGGUAGUGAAAUAAAAGUCAGCUCCUGAU